rnacentral:piRNA from 1 species
UACCUAUGUCAGGUUCUAAAGAAGCUGG